rnacentral:tRNA from 1 species
GGUUUUAAGGUGUUAAACAUAUUUAAUUGCAAAUUAAAAGUUGUCUGAAAGACUAGAACCU